rnacentral:tRNA from 1 species
GCCGGAGUGGUGGAAUUGGUAGACACGUCGGAUUCAAAAUCCGAUGGGGUUUGUAGCCCCGUGUGGGUUCAAGUCCCACCUCCGGUA